GACGAACGCUGGCGGCGUGCUUAACACAUGCAAGUCGAACGGAAAGGCCCUGCUUUUGUGGGGUGCUCGAGUGGCGAACGGGUGAGUAACACGUGAGUAACCUGCCCUUGACUUUGGGAUAACUUCAGGAAACUGGGGCUAAUACCGGAUAGGAGCUCCUGCUGCAUGGUGGGGGUUGGAAAGUUUCGGCGGUUGGGGAUGGACUCGCGGCUUAUCAGCUUGUUGGUGGGGUAGUGGCUUACCAAGGCUUUGACGGGUAGCCGGCCUGAGAGGGUGACCGGCCACAUUGGGACUGAGAUACGGCCCAGACUCCUACGGGAGGCAGCAGUGGGGAAUAUUGCACAAUGGGCGGAAGCCUGAUGCAGCAACGCCGCGUGCGGGAUGACGGCCUUCGGGUUGUAAACCGCUUUCGCCUGUGACGAAGCGUGAGUGACGGUAAUGGGUAAAGAAGCACCGGCUAACUACGUGCCAGCAGCCGCGGUGAUACGUAGGGUGCGAGCGUUGUCCGGAUUUAUUGGGCGUAAAGGGCUCGUAGGUGGUUGAUCGCGUCGGAAGUGUAAUCUUGGGGCUUAACCCUGAGCGUGCUUUCGAUACGGGUUGACUUGAGGAAGGUAGGGGAGAAUGGAAUUCCUGGUGGAGCGGUGGAAUGCGCAGAUAUCAGGAGGAACACCAGUGGCGAAGGCGGUUCUCUGGGCCUUUCCUGGCGCUGAGGAGCGAAAGCGUGGGGAGCGAACAGGCUUAGAUACCCUGGUAGUCCACGCUGUAAACGGUGGGUACUAGGUGUGGGGUCCACUCCACGGGUUCCGUGCCGUAGCUAACGCUUUAAGUACCCCGCCUGGGGAGUACGGCCGCAAGGCUAAAACUCAAAGGAAUUGACGGGGCCCCGCACAAGCGGCGGAGCAUGCGGAUUAAUUCGAUGCAACGCGUAGAACCUUACCUGGGUUUGACAUGGAUCGGGAGUGCUCAGAGAUGGGUGUGCCUCUUUUGGGGUCGGUUCACAGGUGGUGCAUGGCUGUCGUCAGCUCGUGUCGUGAGAUGUUGGGUUAAGUCCCGCAACGAGCGCAACCCUUGUUCACUGUUGCCAGCACGUUAUGGUGGGGACUCAGUGGAGACCGCCGGGGUCAACUCGGAGGAAGGUGGGGAUGACGUCAAGUCAUCAUGCCCCUUAUGUCCAGGGCUUCACGCAUGCUACAAUGGCUGGUACAGAGAGUGGCGAGCCUGUGAGGGUGAGCGAAUCUCGGAAAGCCGGUCUCAGUUCGGAUUGGGGUCUGCAACUCGACCUCAUGAAGUCGGAGUCGCUAGUAAUCGCAGAUCAGCAACGCUGCGGUGAAUACGUUCCCGGGGCU
rnacentral:rRNA from 1 species